rnacentral:rRNA from 1 species
UACGUAGGGUGCAAGCGUUAAUCGGAAUUACUGGGCGUAAAGCGUGCGCAGGCGGCUUUGCAAGACAGAUGUGAAAUCCCCGGGCUUAACCUGGGAACUGCAUUUGUGACUGCAUGGCUGGAGUGCGGCAGAGGGGGGUGGAAUUCCGGGUGUAGCAGUGAAAUGCGUAGAUAUGCGGAGGAACACCGGUGGCGAAGGCGAUCCCCUGGGCCUGUACUGACGCUCAUGCGCGAAAGCGUGGGGAGCAAACAGG